rnacentral:rRNA from 1 species
UACGGGGGGAGCAAGCGUUGUUCGGAUUUACUGGGCGUAAAGGGCGCGUAGGCGGCGCAACAAGUCACUUGUGAAAUCUCCGGGCUUAACCCGGAGCGGUCAAGUGAUACUGUCGUGCUAGAGUGCGGAAGGGGCUACUGGAAUUCUCGGUGUAGCGGUGAAAUGCGUAGAUAUCGAGAGGAACACCUGCGGCGAAGGCGGCGCUCUGGGCUGGAACUGACGCUGAGGAGCGAAAGCGUGGGGAGCAAACAGG